UACGUAGGGGCGAGCGUUGUCCGGAAUUACUGGGCGUAAAGGGCGUGUAGGCGGCUGAGUAUGUCAGGUGUGAAAUACCAGAGCUUAACUGUGGCAUUGCACUUGAAACUGCUCAGCUUGAGUGCAGGAGAGGGAAGUGGAAUUCCUAGUGUAGCGGUGAAACGCGUAGAUAUUAGGAGGAACACCAGUGGCGAAGGCGACUUCCUGGACUGUAACUGACGCUGAGGCGCGAAAGCGUGGGUAGCGAACAGGAUUAGA
rnacentral:rRNA from 1 species